GCACAAGCGGUGGAGCAUGUGGUUAAUUCGACGCAACGCGAAGAACCUUACCAGGGCUUGACAUCCCCUGACCGCGUAUGAAAGUACGUUUUCACCCUCGGGUGACAGGGAGACAGGUGGUGCAUGGUUGUCGUCAGCUCGUGUCGUGAGAUGUUGGGUUAAGUCCCGCAACGAGCGCAACCCCUACGUUUAGUUGCUAACGCGUGAAGGCGAGCACUCUAGACGAACUGCCGUUGACAAAACAGAGGAAGGUGGGAUGACGUCAAAUCAUCAUGCCCCUUAUGUUCUGGGCUACACACGUGCUACAAUGGCCGGUACAGACGGACGCAAAGCCGCGAGGUGGAGCAAAUCCUAAAAAGCCGGUCUCAGUUCGGAUUGCAGGCUGCAAUUCGCCUGCAUGAAGUCGGAAUCGCUAGUAAUCGCAGGUCAGCAUACUCGCGGUCGAAUACGUUCCGGCCUU
rnacentral:rRNA from 1 species